rnacentral:rRNA from 1 species
AACGAACGCUGGCGGCAGGCCUAACACAUGCAAGUCGAGCGAGCAUUUCGGUGCUAGCGGCGGACGGGUGAGUAACGCGUGGGAACGUGCCCUUUUCUGCGGAAUAGUCCUGGGAAACUGGGGGUAAUACCGCAUACGCCCUUUUGGGGAAAGAUUUAUCGGAGAAGGAUCGGCCCGCGUUGGAUUAGGUAGUUGGUGGGGUAAUGGCCCACCAAGCCGACGAUCCAUAGCUGGUUUGAGAGGAUGAUCAGCCACACUGGGACUGAGACACGGCCCAGACUCCUACGGGAGGCAGCAGUGGGGAAUCUUAGACAAUGGGGGCAACCCUGAUCUAGCCCUGCCGCGUGAGUGAUGAAGGCCUUAGGGUUGUAAAGCUCUUUCAGCUGGGAAGAUAAUGACGGUACCAGCAGAAGAAGCCCCGGCUAACUCCGU